AUGAAGAUUGGCAAGGGCACGGAGCUCCUGAAGAAGGCGGCUUCGACGUGCAAGAACAAGACCAGCGUGCUGGCAGCCAAGCUCCUCGUCCUCGUGUCCCUCCGCCGCCGGAUGGCCACCGUCGGCGCCUUCUCCCACAGGAUCCAUGCGCUUGUGGCUGCCGCUGACCGGGAGAAUGGUGCCAGGGUGGACUGCAACAAGGCUCUCAUGGUGCGCAAGGUCCGGAAGAUGCCAGCGCUCCAUGGUGGUGAGAUUGUUGUUAAUAUCUCUCAUCAACUGGCACUGUUCGAUCAAGGGAAUGAUGGUGAUGGUGGCUGCACUGAUUGGACACUACACCCCAUCUUCAACGACGAUGACAACAACUGUUGUUACACCGACGAGUGCGAGGUUGACGACAAUGAGGAAGAUGGCGAUGAAGGCAUUGACGACCAACCAUCGGUCAUGGAUGUAAUCCGGAACCACAGAGAAGCUGAAGGUUUGGAGUUCAGCAUUGACGGUGAGAUUGAUCAGGCUGCAGAUAUGUUCAUCACCAGGUUUCGGAAGCGGAUGAAUCAGAGCUUCUAG
rnacentral:rRNA from 1 species